rnacentral:tRNA from 3 species
GGGCCCGUAGCUCAGCCAGGCAGAGCGCCGGGCUCCAGACCCGGAGGUCCGGGGUUCGAAUCCCCGCGGGCCCACCA